rnacentral:tRNA from 1 species
GAGAAAGUCCCAAGAACUGCUAACUCUUGAACUCCAUACCUAACCACUAUGGCUUUCUUA